GGGGGGGCAAGCGCUGUUCGGAAUUACUGGGCGUAAAGGGCGCGUAGGCGGUCCCGCAAGUCUUUCGUGAAAUCCCACAGCUCAACUGUGGAAUUGCGAGGGAAACUGCGGGACUUGAGUCCGGGAGAGGAGAGUGGAAUUCCCAGUGUAGCGGUGAAAUGCGUAGAUAUUGGGAGGAACACCGGUGGCGAAGGCGGCUCUCUGGACCGGCACUGACGCUGAGGCGCGAAAGCUAGGGGAGCAAACGGGAUUAGAUACCCCGGGUAGUCCUAGCCCUAAACGAUGAGCACUUGGUGUGGCGGGUAUCGACCCCCUGCCGUGCCGAAGCUAACGCAUUAAGUGCUCCGCCUGGGGGAGUACGGUCGCAAGGCUG
rnacentral:rRNA from 1 species